UUCGCAUGCCAUUUGAUGAACCCAUAUGGGAUUAGCUAGUAGGUAGGGUAAAGGCCUACCUAGGCGACGAUCUCUAGCUGGUCUGAGAGGAUGACCAGCCACACUGGAACUGAGACACGGUCCAGACUCCUACGGGAGGCAGCAGUGGGGAAUAUUGCACAAUGGGGGAAACCCUGAUGCAGCCAUGCCGCGUGUAUGAAGAAGGCCUUAGGGUUGUAAAGUACUUUCGGUAAUGAGGAAGGUAACUAUUAACAUAGUUAAUUGACGUUAAUUACAGAAGAAGCACCGGCUAACUCCGUGCCAGCAGCCGCGGUAAUACGGAGGGUGCGAGCGUUAAUCGGAAUGACUGGGCGUAAAGGGCAUGUAGGCGGAUGAUUAAGUUAGGUGUGAAAGCCCCGGGCUCAACCUGGGAAUUGCACUUAAAACUGGUUAUCUAGAGUAUUGUAGAGGAAGGUAGAAUUCCACGUGUAGCGGUGAAAUGCGUAGAGAUGUGGAGGAAUACCGGUGGCGAAGGCGGCCUUCUGGACAAUACUGACGCUGAGAUGCGAAAGCGUGGGGAGCAAACAGGAUUAGAUACCCUGGUAGUCCACGCUGUAAACGAUGUCGAUUUGGAGUUUGGGGGCAUGACCCUUGGGCUCCGGAGCUAACGCGUUAAAUCGACCGCCUGGGGAGUACG
rnacentral:rRNA from 1 species